AUCAAUAGUAGCAGGAACAAAAUGUUGUGGACAUUGAAGGCAUGCAAAAAUAGCAUCUUGUGUUCCACAUUGGUUGAUGAGUGGGGAAAGAAAACGAAUCUUUCCUGAUUGAAUUAGAAGAAAAUAUAAAUAUCAUUUCCAUUGAGGUCAGUAAAUAAUAGUAACUACUACCUACGAGAGCGAGCAUCCACUGAUUUUCAAGCCAUUGCUUCUGUCAAAUCAACAUAUGCAUGUGUGGUCCACGGAGAGGGGCGAAGGCACACUAGAACCUCGUGCUCUUCUGGUCCUACACGCUGCUUAGGCACAUGAAUUUCAAGCAUAGUUCCAGUUUCAUCUCCAUAUGCUUCUAGUUUUGCGUCUUCUGGAAUGCGAGUCCUAAGAGGGAUUUCCCUGACAAAUUCCCCUGAAGGGCAGUGCUCCGGAGCUGGAUCUGAUAGCUUGAAAGUCCUGUUUUGUCUUUUGAUGAUGGGGAUACAUCCAGUGCUGACACAAGAUAUCUUCACGAUCCCAUGAGAGAUGGUAUUUCUCCAAGUGACUUUGACACUUUUCAGAUCCACAAAAGGCAUGCUAACAAGUAUCAAGAACCCUGCGUCGUCUUCAUAAAUAGUUUUUGCAGCUGUAACGGGACCAGAUGCUACUUGCAUAGCACCAGAAAAAUCUCUUAGCCAGGGUGCGCUAAUUGGAUGGAUAUCUGUAAGCCUCUCAGGAUGUUGACUAGUAGGCAAACAGCAAUCAUCAUUGUUUCCUCGAGUAAAUCCAUUUUUCUUCCUCUUGUUGCAGACAGACAAAAUGUUUAGUCCUUCUCCAUUUACAUGGUUUGCAGAUCGAGUAGAUAGAUUCAGACUUGAUCCAUUCAACAAUCUCUCUGUACGAGGAAGUGCGUUGCUCUUCAAUGCAGGAAGCCGUUCAAGCUCAAACUCUGUAUGCGGAAGGCACCUCCAUGACUCAAAGUCACUGGCUUCAGAAGGAAUUGAAAAAUUCAUGUCUCGUCCUGUAAGCUCCAUCCACUUCUUUUGCUCCUCCUUAUCAAGACCUGUAAGAUUAGGUGACCUAACAACUUCAAUUCCAUGAAGGCACUGAGGGUUCGAAAGACCUCUGUAAUGUUUCCUCUGCAUUUUGUGAGAUCGAACAAAACCUUUCUCUGCAGUGAAAGGAAAGGGGCUCUCUCCCUGGCGUGAAUGCCCGUUCAUGUAACUCCUCAAUUGCAUCUUGCCAAGAGCAUUUUCAGGCCUGUCCUUGAAAACCCACAUGUACAUAUUCUCCAUAUCAUGCUGA
rnacentral:misc_RNA from 1 species